AGCUGCGCGCGUCUCGCUACGCCACGCCCCUCUCCGGCUCCACCCCAGCCCCAGCUUCAUCUCCACCCGAGAGGCUAGCGCGCUCUCAGUGUUUCUCGAGGCUGUCCUCGUGCGCAGUCCGCGCCAAAGUUCCCUGAAGAGAAAGAGGAGGAAAGAAAGGGCAGGAUUGCCGGGGCAGGCAUGGAGGAAGAAGCAGUCUGGGGAUUAGACUGGGACAGUGACGAGACGGUAGUGGAAGGGUCGGUGACCGAGAGCGAGCUAGAGGAUGACGAGUUGCCCCUGAAAAGGUUAUUUUUUGCUCAAGAUUCAUCUUUUAUAUCUGAUCCCAGUUUUCACUCUGAUCUCAGACGAAUAUAUGGAGAAGCAGCCUCUCCGGAGAUUCAUCUUGUAUAUAAACUCAAAGAGUAUCUACAAGAGCAGAUGAAUAAGCACAUGAUAAAACCACUCUCUGAAGGAGAAAAUGAAACUCAAUUGUCUCAAGCUUUAACACAGGAUGAAAUAGAUAAUCCACUGUUCUCUGAAGAAAUUCCCCAAGAUGAUCUAGUGCUGGACUCUGAAUGGCAGAAUGAGCACAAUUAUUCUGCAGGAUUUGAUACCGAAGAUUUUGGAUUUCUGCAAAGGCCAGAAAAGGAAUUAAGUGAUGGAGAUGACUCCCCUGAAAUUAGUCUACUCUCAGGUGCUGUUAUUACAAGUUAUGGUACAGUAGAAGUAAAGAAAAAACCAUCAGAGAAGCUGGAGGGGCACAGUGUAUUGUCAGAGUCUCUAACGGAAGUUGCAUUGCCUUCAGGAGAAAUCGGGAGAGAAGAUAGCACCUAUGAAAUGUUGGUGCCCAUUAUAGAAGACUCUUCAGGAUUAUCAGAAAGUAUUCUAGUUGAAUACCCAUUUAAAAUGAAUGAAAUUGAAACUAAAGAGUUGUUAAAACCACUGAGUGAUUUGGGUAGUCCCAAAUCAAUGUCAUCUUUAGAUCAUUUGUUGAUUUGUCAGGAAGAUGGUCUGUCAGAAGACAUGCAAGAAAAUGAGAAAAAUGAUGCAUUACCGGCUGAGCUGCUGACAGCCCUGAAUACGUUGUCGGAAUCUGUGGUGGAAUCCAUCUGUCAAAGAAUGGAAAGAGGCAAUGGGUCCUGUGCUGAGAAUGAGUUCUUAGGAACAGAACCUAGCAUUUCUCAGGCAGACAAUGAUUGUACACAAAUAGGAAUGAAUUUUGAAUUUCAGCAUUCUGUUCAGCCAUUUGGACAAGGUCCCAAGUUAACUGAACCUUUAAUGCAGCAAAGUUAAUAAAUUUGAGAUUGGCAUAGAUGAGUUUAUGGAUGAUGGAACCAUAAUGGAUAAUGGAACAAAGCAUGGUAUAGUAAGAGGAUCACUGGAUUUAGGAUCAGAAGACCUGGGUUUGAAUCCCAUCUCUGCCACUUACCACCUGUAUUAUUACAUCAGGCAAGUCAAGAACAUCACUAGGCCUCAUUGUCCUCAUCUAUAAAAUGAGGAGGUUGUGCUUGAUGACCUCUAAGAUCCUUUCCAGGUAGAAGUCUAUGAUUCUGAGUUCUUUAAUGCCAUGAUUUAUUAUUAAGGAGACACAAUUCAUUCUUUGGAGUCAUUGUCAAGAAGCUCAUGAUACCACUAUGAGAAGUAAAGUCUGAAUGAACUUUUUUGGACUGACAUAGAAGCAGUUUUCAAUCUU
rnacentral:lncRNA from 1 species